rnacentral:rRNA from 1 species
CACUGUGACCAUACCACCUUGAGAAUGCCCAAUCUUCUCUGAUCUCAGAAGCUAAACAGGGAUGGGCCUGGUUUGUACUUCGAUAGAAGAACAGUAGAAAUACCAGGUUCAGCANNNN